AAAAAAAACCACGUCCCAAACCAGCCCACCUUUGGAAUCUCUCAACCUCUGACUCUUCUGGUUCCUCCAUUUCUCUUCCUCCAUUGCUUUCAUCAACCCUUUUUGAGGGUUUCUUUUAUCUCCAUUUCAAUCUCACUCAAUUUCCUUCUCUCAGUAACACCAUAUUCUAGGGUUUCACAAUUCAAAUUGAUGAUAUUUUGUGGACGAGCUUUGUUGGGAGGAACUCAAUCAUAGCCGAUUGGACUUGAAACUUCGCGGAACUCACUUCGUUAAAGGGUCUCUAUGGGUUUCGGGUAAACGAGAUUUGCAACACCCAACUUGAAAUAGCUAAGACCUAUCAAGAAAUUGAGGGUCUACAUCGAGAAAACACAGCAAAUUGUUAUACAGGUCAAAAUUUUGAACCUAUCACUCUUCUGUUGGAUUCUGGUUUCUUUGUUUCGUCACGAUGGACGAUGGGGAGAUUGAUUUUUCAAACCAAGACGUGUUUUCAAGUCCAAACAUGGGUGAACUCCCAAGCAGUUGCUCUAUGGAUAGCUUUUUCGAUGAACUUCUGAAGGAUACAUGCACUCAUACCCACACUUGCAACCCACCAGGCCCUGAUUUCUCUCAUACACACACUUGUUUUCAUGUGCACACCAAAAUUGUGCCUGCCCCAACUGAAGAUAAGGUUUCCACCGAUGAUACUGCAGAGUCCUCGGAAAAGAAAUCAAAGAAAUGUCCAACAGGUAAUCGUGAAGCAGUUCGCAAGUACCGCGAGAAGAAGAAGGCUCGCACUGCAUCGUUGGAGGAUGAAGUUGUGAGAUUGAGGGCUGUGAAUCAACAAUUGGUGAAGAGAUUGCAAGGUCAGGCUGCAUUGGAGACCGAGAUUGCAAGGCUCAAGUGUUUGCUUGUGGACAUCCGAGGGAGGAUUGAAGGGGAGAUUGGAUCUUUUCCUUAUCAGAAGCCUUCCAAGAAUGGUGAUAUGUAUCAAAACCCGGUUAAUCCAAACUUGCCUGGUGCAUACGUGAUGAGUCCAUGUAAUGUACAGUGUGAUGAUCAGGUUUACUGCCUUCAACCAGGGGCGGAAAGCAAAAGUGGGGAAGAUGCAUCGAUAAAUGGUCAAGGCUUCAGUGGUUGUGAAUUUGAAAAUCUGCAGUGUUUGGGGAACGAGAAUGCUGGACUGAAGGAGUUACCUGGCUGUGGACUAGGGAAUGGAGCUUCAACAGUCAAUUCUUCUGGUGCAAACAAGAGAAAAGCUUGUUCGAGGUGAGAGCCUCAAGCCCAGUGGAACUUGGCAGUCAAUUUAUUUGGACUGUAAGGUUGGGCUUUGGUCUGUUUAUGAGAAAAGAACAAACAAAGACAGAGGGACUCGUGCAGCAAGGUGAAGAGCUAAUCAGAUGGAGAUUUCUUUAUUCUAGAGGAUACACAAUCUCUCUCUAUAAGUGGUUUUGCUGGAGUUCAGUGAUAUCUUCCCCUCAGGUCAUCGUGUGUUUGAGUGUUUUUACUUCUCUACCCUGCUGUCGGGUUCUAUAGCUAGCUGCAUUUCUUAUUUAUUAUGUGAGGCUCAACGUUAGCUACUUUUUACUGCUUUUUGUGUUGAUCGUUGUUCAGUUUAUGAACUCAAUCUCGGUUCUAUAUAAAUAAUGUGUUGUGAAGUAGAAUGCUUAAUGGGACAGAGUAGGUUGUAGGACUUAGCAGCCAGUGUUGUGAUUGAUGGAGGCAACUAAUGUGGGAUUAUUGAUGGCCAAUGGUUAAUAAUAAUAAGAAUGACAGUCCAUAAGACUGUCAAUAAGAAAUUGGAAAAACAA